UAUUCGCCGGCGAAGAGGGCAGCCACGGCGGCACCCACUACAGCCCUCGUCGGGGGCUUCUGCGCCUUGUGUCUCCUCCGCAGGAGAGGGCGUCCUGUGGCUAGCGCUCUCAUGGCGUGCUCUCGCGCACAUACACACACGCACAUUCUCGCUGCUGCGUCGGCUGUGGUGAGGUUGCCGGUUUAUCUAAUUUGCAAGCAGGGGUUAGGGCCUACAAGAAAGAUAAGGUGAACCGUAUUCUGGAUGCUUAUGUGUUUGACAAGUCCUUCAAGUUUGAUUCUUUUUUGCCAUGAGGAAUUCAGCAAGAACCUGAAGUGCGACAUCGGCAUUGUCAUUCCUCAUUAGGACCUCUGCAACCUCUGCAGGCGUUAUCGGCACCUCCUCUAUCAGCUGUUCGAUUUCUGGAUACAUGGCAUGGUUUUCAACAGAGUGGUAGUUGCUGGCCAGAACUCGGAAAGCCUCUGGGGUGCAGUACCCCAUGUGGAUGUGCAUGUCCAUCCUGCCAGGCCGCAGCAGUGCUGGGUCAAGACGCUCUCUGUAGUUUGUGGUGAAGACGAUGAUCCUCUCCUCGCCGCUUGUUGACCACAGACCGUCAACAAAGUUGAGCAGCCCAGAUAGUGUCACCUACUCUCAACAAAAUACCCAAAUUAGCAUCAGGCCAUCAGCAUUGGUCGAUGCUGCAGUCAAUGUCCUCAACAACGAGGAUGGAUCGGUUGCUCAUCCCGACGAGCAGCCUCCGGAGGUCAGAGUUGGACUUGACCUCAGUGAGCUCGAGAUCGUAUAUGUCAAACUUGAGGUAGUUGGCCAUGGCGGCGAUGAGGCUGGACUUGCCGGUGCCAGGUGGUCCGUAGAGCAGGCUGUGGUCCAUGGCGAGCGUGUCGAAGGUGGAGGGGUGGCGCAGGUCGACGGCGGUCCAGGCGUCGUACUCGAUCAUGUGCAUCUUGAGGUUCCUGUGCUGGUCGUUCAUGGCCUUGGCCGUGUCCACGACGAAGGGGAGGCGUCACCAUCACCUCCUUGAUCAGCUCCUCGAUCUCUGGAUAUGUGGCAUGAUAGUCGAUGGAGUGGUAGUUGCUGGCAAGAAUUCGGAAAGCCUCUGGUGUGCAGUACCCCAUGUGGAUGUGCAUGUCCAUCCUGCCAGGCCGCAGAAGUGCUGGAUCAAGACGCUCCUUGUAAUUGGUCGUGAAGACGAUGAUCCUUUCCUCCCCGCUUGUUGACCACAGCCCAUCAACAAAAUUUAGCAGCCCAGAUAAUGUUACCUGUGUGGACAGCAAUCAAAUUCUCAUCAGCUUUGAAUUGGACUUGUUACAUUCCUCCCCGGCCUCCCGUUGUUUCAGUUCGAUGGAACAGUCAAUGUCUUCAACAACAAGAAUGGACCGGUUAGUCAUCCCAACAAGAAGCCUUCUGAGCUCCGAGUUUGAAUCGACCUCAGUCAGCUCGAGAUCAUAUAUGUCAAACUUGAGGUGGUUCGCCAUGGCUGCGAUCAAGCUGGACUUGCCAGUCCCAGGUGGGCCAUACAGCAGGUAACCCCUCUUCCAUGCCUUGCCAAUCCUCUUGUAGUAAUCCUUUCUCUUGAUGAACCUAUCGAGGUCAUCGAUAAUGGACUGUUUCAGCUUCUGGUCCAUGGCAAGCGUGUCGAAUGUGGAUGGGUGGUGGAGAUCGAUUGGAGACCAUGAGUCUGAGUAUUCAUUCAUGUAUAUCUGGAGAAUUCUUUCCUGGUCUUUUAUGGCCUUGGCUGUGGCAAUGAUGAAUGGGAGGUAUGAUUUCAGGGCUUUCUCCUUGUACUUCCUGUGGAAGCUCACCUCAUAGGAGCGGGCCUCGCGUUGAACGCUACCAUUGCCAUUGUUGGGGUCGGGAUUCAUCCAUGCUGCUGACUCGCAGGCGCUGCAUAUUGUUGUUGAUGCGUGUUGCGAGGUAGCUGAGGCCGGAAAACAGCACAUCACGCACCUCAUAUGGGACCAGCUCAUUCACGACGCUGCGAACCAACAUCACAGAUGCUGCAACGGACGCGGCGGUUGUGAUGGCCUUCUUGUAGGACUCGAUGGCCUUGUCGUAGGACGCCAUGGCAAGAAAUGGUGCACCCAUUCCAUCUACCACCGAGGAAGGGGAGGCCGUUCCGCGUUGGCUGAAUGGAUCCAUGUGCGGAAAUCGCAUGCCGUGCAGACGAAGCUUGGCCGAGUCAGAGGCUGGAAUGAAAAAUUCUAAAAAGGGGCAUGCAUCCACUGAAUACUGGUCCAUUUGGGGAAAGUGGGAUUGUCUCGGUCUGCGUCGCCGACGUCUUUACGGGAAGAACCUCCCAUGUAGCGCAACAGUGGAUUGGAUCGGGGUCAAAUUUUUGAUCGCGUAGCGGCGGUGGCGCCAAUCGACGUGUUGAUCCGUGAUAUGACCAGCGACUCCGUGGACCAUUCCCAGUGAUAUCAUCAGUGAGCGAGAGUGCUAUAGUUUUUGUUUGUGACAGCUUAUCCUAAUCCAUCAUUGUGUAACCGCCUCUCUAUUGUGACAGUUUUGGACAAGAGGGCCCUGUUGCAAGGAAUCUAUUGGUAAUGAUGAAUCAUUCAGCAACAUCACAAACAAUUAAACCGUAUUGCGGCUCGAUCGCUUGAAUACAGGGGUCGACACUGUGGCGCCAUGAUCAGUUAAACAGUGUGUUGUGUUGUGUUGUGUUGGGCAUAGCGUCCGACUGAUCCUGCCAAAAGCAAUCGUGAUCGCCACGUUUUAUUUGCUUUCCAGAACAGCGCGAAACGUGACUGGAUGUUAAAGCCAUCGCAAAAAAAGAAAAAAAGAAAAGAAAAACUCAACUGUAAAGUGCCAGACAAAAACUAGAACUGUAUGUAGAUCGAGCA